AACGAACGCUGGCGGCAGGCUUAACACAUGCAAGUCGAGCGCCCCGCAAGGGGAGCGGCAGACGGGUGAGUAACGCGUGGGAAUCUACCCAUCUCUACGGAAUAACGCAUGGAAACGUGUGCUAAUACCGUAUACGUCCUUCGGGAGAAAGAUUUUUCGGAGAUGGAUGAGCCCGCGUUGGAUUAGCUAGUUGGUGGGGUAAAGGCCUACCAAGGCGACGAUCCAUAGCUGGUCUGAGAGGAUGAUCAGCCACACUGGGACUGAGACACGGCCCAGACUCCUACGGGAGGCAGCAGUGGGGAAUAUUUGACAAUGGGCGCAAGCCUGAUCCAGCCAUGCCGCGUGAGUGAUGAAGGCCCUAGGGUUGUAAAGCUCUUUCACCGGUGAAGAUAAUGACGGUAACCGGAGAAGAAGCCCCGGCUAACUUCGUGCCAGCCGCCGCCGUAAGAC
rnacentral:rRNA from 1 species